rnacentral:tRNA from 1 species
GCCUGGGUGGCUCAGUGGUUGAGCACCUGUCUUCAGCUCAGGGCAUAAUCCCAGGAUCCCUGGAUUGAAUUCCAGAUCAGGCU